UUGGGAAAAUCAAUUAAUUAUGGGCAGCUGUGAUUGCACCCACCCUGACCCCACCCGCCCCAGCUCGUUGCCUGCUCCAUCGCUUCAGCUGUGCCCUGCAGCUGCUAACUUUUAUAAAUUAGCCUGCCAGCAGCACACUCCCAUAGUUGGGCAGUGCUUUGCUUGGAGGGGAGUGAGAAGGGCAUGUUCGGCUGGGGAGGAGUGGCUUUGUUCACCCAUCCAAGAGGAGAGUUGGCAGUUGGAUCCGUCUGCUGGGGCCACGGAGUUCCUACCCGUGCCUUGCCACUGCACUGCGUGCUCCAGCCGACAGCUUACCUGUGGGGAGGAAGAAACGCAGCACCAAUUAGAAAGCUUUCAGCCCAGCACCCAUGGAAAAGCCAAAAGCUGAUAAAGUGUGCGUUCGUGCUCGGAUCGCCCUGCCUGUGCCCUUCACCCUUGUGUUCGCUCCCACCUUGCUCCCUGCCCAGCCC